CCCAGCUCCUACACAGCCCACAACCUGAAAAGCCAGUUUUACUCCCACUGUGGCCCCUCAACAGCACUGAGUUUAUUUCCAGGCAGCCAGUGAGCAGGGCUGAGAACUUGCCCCAGGCUACCAGACUCCCAGCUGAGAAAGCAAGCUGGGGCACAGUGCCUCAGCUGUCCCAUAGAGCCUGAAGCAGCAAUCCACCUACUUCAAAGGGUCUUUGGAUUCUCUCAACUUUCCUGGUAUGUUCCUGUGGUUUUCCUGAGGAGCAGAACUUUUGCAAAAAGAAGUUGUCUUGCUGAGGACUUGGCCUGCCUCUGCUGAGAUGACAAGAGAGUGAGAAGAGAUUGGUGAUUCAAGCAUGCUUGACUCAGGGCAAGGGUCAAGGAGUCACUGGAGCUGACCACACAAAAGGAGAUGCUAAGCUGGAAUCAAGGUGGUGAGAGAAUGGGGGCCCAGCCUGGCGGUGGUGGAGCAGAUCAAAGGCAUUGGACACCCUCUUCUCAGCUUUGCCUUCUGCAGCUUGUGUCAGGUGCCACACAGUAGAAGUAGAGGCACGAAGAGUUCUCUUUCAUUGACUGUGAAUGUUUUGUUCAUGGCUCACUAUUAAUGUAUGUUUGCUGAGAGUCAGCUGUAUGCCAGCUGCAGUGUUAUGUCCAGUAGGGGCCAUGAUGAAUCACCAAGGUAAAACUUUAUCAUUAAAGUAAAUGUAAUGUAAAGUAAACGUCAAACCAUAUCAUUCUUCAUGUGGUUUGGCUGUAUCCUGACACCAAUUUCAUCUUGCAUUGUAGUUCCUGUAAUCUCCAUGUGUGGUGGGAGAGACCCAGUGCGAGGUAAUUGAAUCACAGGGCUGGUUUUCCCUAUGCUAUUCUUGUGUUGGUAAGUUCCCAUGAGAGCUGAUGGUUUUGUAAGGGGCUUCCUCCUUCACUGGGUUCUCAUUAUCUCUCCUGCCAUCCUGUGAAGAAGUGCCUUUUGCCAUGAUUGUAAGAUUCCUGAGGUUGCCCCAGCCAUGCAGAACUGUGAGUCAAUUAAAUCCCUUUUCUUUAUAAAUUACCCAGUCUUCGGUAUUUCUUCAUACCCAAAAUGAGAAAUAUGUAGCUUGAGAAUGGACUAAUACAGUAAAUUGGUACUGAGGGAGUGGGGUGCUGCCAUAAGGAUACCUAAAAAGGUGGAACUGGGUAACAGGCAGAGGUUGGAACAGUUUGGAGGGCUCUGAAGAAGACAGAAAGAUGUGGGAAAGUUUGGAACUUUCUAGAGAGGUAGAGGGCUGAGAAGAAGACAGGAAAAUGUGAAAAAGGUUAAAACUUCCUAAAGGCUGGUUGAAUGGUUUUGACAAAAAUGCUGAUAGUGUUAUGAACAAUGAAGUUUAGGCUGAGGUGGGCUGAGAUUAAGCUGAGAAACUUGCUGGUAACUGGAGCAAAAGUGACCCUUGUUAUGCUUUGCCAAAGAGACUGGCAGCAUUUUGCCUCUGGCCUAGAGAUCAGUUGAACUUUGAACUUGAAAGGAAGGAUUUAGGGUAUCUGGUGGAAGAAAUCAUAGCAAAGCAUUCAAGAGGUGACAACAUAAAAGUUUGGAAAAUUUGUAGCCUGACGAUGCAAUAGAAAAGAAAAACCAAUUUUCUGGGGAGAAAUGCAAGCCUGCUGCAGAAAUUUGCAUAAGUAACAAGGAGACAAAUGUUAAUUAUGGGGAAAAUGUCUCCAGGGCAUGUCAGAGACCUUCACAGUGGCCCCUCCAAUCACAGGCCCGGAGGCCUUGGAGGGAAAAUUGAUUUUGUGGGCCAGGAGUAGGGUCCCCCUACUCUCUGCAGUCUUGGGACAUGGUGCCCUGCAUCCCAGCUGCUUCAGUCCCAGCAGCGGCUAAAUGAGGCCAACAUACAGCUUGGACCAUUGCUUCAGACAGAGGGUGCAAGCCCCAAGCCUUGAUGACUAAUGUGGUGUUGGGCCUGCAGGUGCACAGAAGUCAAGAACUGAGGGUUGAGAACCUCUGCCUAGAUUUCAGAGGGUGUAAUGGAAACACCUGGAGGUCCAAGCAGAAGUUUGCUGCAGUAGUGGAGCCCUCAUGAAGAACCUCUGUUAGGGCAAUACAGAAAAGAAAUGUGGGGUUGCCCCCACACAGAGUCCCCACACAGAGUCCCCAGUGGGACACUGCCUAGUAAAGCUGUGAGAAGAGGGCUACCAUCCUCCAGACCCCAGAAUGGUAGAUCCAUUGACAGCUUGCACUGUGUACCUGGAAAAGCUGCAGGCACUGAAUGCCAGCCGUGAAAGCAGCUGGGAGAAGGGCUGUACCUUGCAAAGCCACAAGAGCAGAGCUGCCCAAGACCAUGGGAGCCCACCUCUUGUAUCACUGUGAUAUGGAUGUAAGACAUGGAGUCAAAGAAGAUAAUUCUGGAAUUUUUAAGGUUUAAUGAGUACCCUAUUGGAUUUUGGACUUGCAUGGGGCCUUUGUUUCAGCCAGUUUCUCCCAUUUAGAACAGGUGUAUUUACCUGAUGCCUCUACUGCCAUUGGAUCUAGGAAGUAACUAACUUUUGCUUUCACAGGCUUACAGGUAGAAGAGACUUGCCUUGUCUCAAAUGAGACUUUGGACUUGGACUUUUGGGAUAAUGCUGGAAUGAGUGGAGAGUUUGGGAGACUGUUGGAAGGGUAUAAUUUGUUUUGAAAUGUGAGAACCUGAGAUUUGGGAGGGACCAGGGGAAGAAUAAUAUGGUUUGGCUGUGUCCUCACCAGUGUCUUAUCUUGAAUUAGUUCCCAUAAUCCUCACAUGUUGUGGGAGGGACCCAGUGGGAGGUAAUUGAAUUGUGGGGCAUUUUUCCCCAUGCUAUUCUUAUGAUAGUGAGUGAGUUCUCCUAUUAUCUGAUGGUUUUAUAAGGGGACCCCUCCUUUCCUGGGUUCUUAUUUUGACUUUCCUGCCGCCCUCGAAGAGGUGCCUUCUGCCAUGAUUAUAAGCGUCCUGAGGCCUCCCUAGCCAUAAAGAACUGUGAGCCAAUUAAACCUCUUUUCUUUUUAAAUUACCCAGCUUCGGGUAUUUCUUCAUAGCAGUGUGAGAACAGACUAAUACAAUUCUUAA